GAGAGUGGCGCUGUGAAGGUCUAUCGCGCCGGGGUCUGCCCUCCUCCCCGCGGCCGUCGGGGCAGCCGCCCCAGGGCCGCAGCAACCGCCGCAGGCCGCGUUCGGGUGCCGUGGGCCCGCCAUUUCAAACAGCCAUCGCGUCCGACAGGCCUCGUCCUGGCCCUCUCCUCCUCAGCCUGUGUCUGGCCUGGCGUUUGGGAUUGCCACGGAGAGCAGCCAGAAGAUAACCCAAGGGGACAAGCCAGGUCUUGGCAGGUGCCACGGCUAAACAUGGCAGCAGGCGCAAAACACUACGGAAAAGCAAGGGUUAUUUGAUUUUAUCAUUGUCCGGGACAAUCAUGCAGGAAGAUCAAAAGACAUACAAGCAACACGAAAGAAAGCUAGGAAGAGAUGCAAGUGCAGAGAACCUGGCAAGACUACCACAUGAGUGACCUCGGGGAGGCUGAGCUGGCUUCUGGCUGGGUUUGAGACUCCAGGGUUAAAUCGAGCGAGUUACUUGCACUGGCUGCUUAGGAAAGGCAGAUGCACGACAAGUGGAAUUUUUUUUUUUUUUCUGUGCUUCUUGUCCCCCUGUAACUGGAAGACAGCCAAUAGCAGGAAUGCUGUUGCCUCAGAUCCCAACCAGAGGAGAUGAUUGCUUAAGGCAGAGCAUGCAUGAGGAAAGAUGUUUGCUUCCUAUUCUAUAGUACUUUCCCUGAUUUGUUACACAGCAUGACAAACAGAACAACACUUCCAUGAUGUUUAUAUGUUUUAUUUUACAUGCUAGCAGUAGAAUCAAGGCCGAGUGCCAAGAUAAUUAAUUAAUUCCACUUUCCUGAAUUACCCAUAAGGUUUAAGUUAUGUAUGGCAAUUAUCUCCUUUAAACUGUUAAGCGUGCAGAAAGUGGUUAUUGCCUGCUGUCUUUCUACCUGCACCAUGGCAGGGGCAGCAAACCUUGCCGUGCAUUUGCUCACGCAGUGACACAGAAGCGCUGCGCGCCUUCCUGCUGCUGUUAAGAGUCAUGACGAGCUGCGCAGGCAGCCCUGCGGUGCUGGGCUGUCCGCAUGCACGUUGCUGCCAGCAACUCACUGCCUGAGGAGUUCCCAUUCCAGGAGAUGAGGCAGAAAAGGGUAAGGCACCGGUGUAUCGUCGUCAUGGCUGUUACACGGAGGAAAAGACAGAGAGAGAUGAAGUGGCAGGCCCAAGGUCACCCUGAGGAGCCAGAAUCACUGAGGAAGCACGAAGGAGAAAAAGCGAAAGAGCUAUGGAGAAAAGGACAUUGAAACGCUCUUACAUCCAGCAGCAGGAUUGCAUUUGGCAGCACAUGCAUGCCUUUAAGCCAAACUUUCUCCGAUUCAAUGUUUUUGGCCAAAAAUCAGAAUUGGGUCCUUAACUGCAUAGGAUGGGCUGUAUUCUCAGAACAAAUCAAGUUUCUGUCAGUCUCAUCUCUGGGAAAAUGCAGAGGAUGGACCCAAAACUACAGUCUGAGCCACUGAAAGGUCGCAGUUUGCUAUAGUAGUUCUGUUAAAACCCAGCUACAAGAUAAAUUAAUAUAUGCUAAAAGCAAAAGCAAUCAAAUGCUUUUUGAAACCUAUAAAACAAUGUGGUUUCACUUAUGCUUUUUGAACCAGGCAGGUGGUGAAUUCCCAAGUAGAUUGUGUGUUGCCUGAACCCUUUGCUAUUUGAUUUGACUGGUAAUUAAAAUCUCGGGUAAAUUACAUGGAAAAUUUGUGCUGACUGAUUCCUCUCAUGGCUUGGGUAGUCCAGGUGGAUCAAGCAGGGGAGAAGAUGUAGGGACUUCCAGUUAGAAGAGAACCAUCAAAGCCUGUGGAGGUUGGCACUGGUACUUGCUGGUUCUUUGCAGACAGCACAUGAAAAGCAGAGCCCUUCAGGUGCUCAUUUCCAAUAACUAGUUUCAAAACCUCAAUGGCAACUGUGUGAAAGGUUUAAUUUUUAUUCAUGACCUUUCUGGGCCAGUGGGGCCAAGUAGGUUUAAGUAGGUGAUAUUUAAAAGAUCCCAUUUGGUCUUCCCUUUUGGAGAUACCAGAAGACAUGGUUAUCUCAGAAAGGAUCAAAUGCCAUAGCAGACGUUCUUUAGAGGUUCCUGAAUGGAGACCCAAGUGCCACCUGAGAUUCCUGGGAGAGAGGAUUGGCAUGCCUAAAUGCAAAUGAUUCUCAUACUCAGGAAGAGAGUCUGGCUUUGGGACCCUGGGUUUCAAACUUGUCCUGGCAGACUUUCCUUAACUCAUUUGAUUCUUUCUUCUCAAAGAAAGCUGGAUAGAAAAGUUUUGUCAACAGAAUCGAGCUGAUGAGUAGAUUUUUUUAUGUCUGCUAGGCUACUUCUGCAUCCCUGUGUAAGCUAAUGCUGACUUAAAGAUUCAUCUUAAGGACUUUCAAAUAUAUCCCUGGAUCCCAGCCAGAUGCCAUGAGCCAAUGGUCCAAGAAGAAAUGGUCUCCCUAGGAAAAAAUGAAGAGAGGGAUGUGAAGGAUAAUUGGUUUUACUGGCUGAGGUAAACCAUAGUUGCAAUAUGCAUGACCUCUAGUACUUUUUAUGGGGAACAUAGCCAAAAUCUGUUAGACGCAGUUAAUUGUGGAAACUCUUGUGGCAAAGAGAUAUUCUUACAGGUUUGCUAAUCCUUCCCUGUCGUAAAAGUUUGUCUCACCAGAUGAAAUAUAUCUUUAUAUUCAUCAGAUUAACGUAUAAAGCAUACACUGAAUUAUUGUUUGAGUAGGCAAAUAAGACCCUGGUGUUGCUUUGUCUUGUCAUGGAAGGUCUUUGAGGCCUCAUCCACACUCAGCAGUAAAUUCAUAUUCACCCUUGGGGUGAUCUGGCAGAGAGGAGAACAGGAGGGGCAGUGCCGCUGCCACCCUGCAAUAGCAGAGGAGCUGCUGGCGAGGUUGGGCUGUACAGCCUUUACCUCUGCUGUAGAGAUGUUUUAUUAAUGCACUUUUAGAAGUAAAUGUAGCCAUUUGUCUUUUUGCAUCCUCUUCUCGAUAGUGGAUGUAACUACAUUUCAGGCAAAAGCUGAGCAAGGAGAAACUUUUUUCCAAGACAAAAAUGCUGAAGUGAUGACUGUCCACUUGAAUGUAGACAUAAGGAAAGGCUGAAGCAGAUCUGUCCUCCUUUAUCCUUUCUGGCAUCGCCCAAGAAACCUUGUUCUCCAUGUAAAGAAACAGAGUUUAUAUAAAGCAUGAGAGAGCCCCUGAAGAAUGUGGAAUUAAGAUUUAUUUAUUCGAGUCCUUAUUUUUGCUGAUGUAGGUUAUCCCAGGAUAUUCAGUGGAUAGGAGGCUAAAAACUUGGUACAAUGAUGGUUGGCUCAGAGAUAGGCCUCAAUGUUCAUAUAGGGAAAACAAAAGCUUUCCAUAUUGUGCGUAAACCAUCAACCCACUACUCCUCUGCUCCUCUCAGAACAUUGGUUUCCUGCUGCCAGUAAUGCACAUCAACAUACCUUAUAAAAAAUGGCUGCUUAACCUCAUUACCAGAAUUACCUGUGCCGCGUAGCAGUUCCACAGAUCUUUUACUCUCCUCUCUCGACCUGCCUGUGCUGGAUUCCUUUCCCCCACUGUUACUACAGUUUUUCUUACUUAUAAAAAGAACACACAUCUUGUCUAUACACAUCUCAUAUGCAAAUCGGCAUAUGAGGGAAAACUUGGUCUUUAGAGACAGAAAACUUGGUCUGAGACAGAAGGAAGUGCACCCAAGAUACUUGCACUUUUAACCUGCUUUCAUACAGAAAUACAUAUUCUCAUCAUGCUGCCUGUGUGCCUAUCUUUCAGUCCUCUGUAACUUUUGAAUUUGCUGACUAAUUUCUGUCUACUUGAUGAAGGAAACUUGACAUUAAUUUCUUCUGUGUUCAGUGAAAAUUAGUAGCCGAGCAGAGUUGAGGGGCCUGACUUAUUUUUCUGCUGAGGGAAAGACUUUAUUAUGAGUAAAACAUUAUUUCUGGGCAUCAGAAAAUCCACAUGGGAGAGAAAAAGAGCUGAUAGAUGCCUCAACCACAGGAAAAGUUUCAAUCAGAGUUUGCAUCUUAUUAGACACAGGAUAAUUCAACCACAAGACACAAAGCCACAGGAAACUGGACUUCAUUUUCUGUAGCUACUUGUUUUCUUAAAUCAGAAUGUUUGGGGUUUUCCUCUCUCUUCACUUCCAGCGAAUUAUUACUGUGCUGUGAUCCUAGACUUUGAACUUACAGCAUCUUUAUUUUUUUAACUGUAGCUCCCUUUCUAUUAGUUUGUAAUACCCCAUCAAUGUAAAAGUUAGUUGUGUAAAAUGUGGUUAGUAAGUCUGAGUAUUAAAAAUGUUUUUGUGACAUUUGUGUACUGAUUAACUGUAGACUUUCAUUAUGUUUAAAAAUAGUAAGGAAAAGUACUUUUCCAAGGACUGAUUUCAUUUUCCAAACAAUAAUGUGUGUGCAACUUAUUUCUAGUAGAUACUAUGGUUAUGAUUACAUCGAGAUUUCACUAUAGCUCUCAGCUUACAAUUCCUUGAGAAAAAAAUUACACUUUUGACUUAAAUUGUCUCUAUUUGUUUAAAGCCUUGAGGAUUAAUUUACUUUGGGGGCAUUGUUAUUGUUUAUUAAGUUAUUUCUUUGGUUAGUAUAUUAUUUAUUCAGUGAGAUCUGUUUUCACUGCUGGCUUACAUAUGGGAGGAAAAGUGUCAUUUUUAAAGCAGAAACAAGUGAGAUUAAAUAUUAUUUGUAUAUAGUUCUUCUUUUCAGUGUCUGUGUUACUUCCUAAAAGAGGCAAGAAGGAAAAGGGUAAGACUUUCCAAACUACUACAUGUGGGAAUUACUCGACUUACUGUCUCUCUUUUCUUUUUUUUUUAAUUCCUUGUAGCCAGUAGGCUGGUGCAUGGCAUGCUUCUUUGUGUGGUAAAUCCAAUUCAGUCCAGUUCAAAUCACCAUCCAGUUCGGUACUGCCAUUUAACACUUAAAUACCAAGUUCCUAGUCAUACCCAGAGGAAGCAAUGUAGUUAAAUUAAGCUGUCCCCGGCCUGAAGAGCUAUUGUGAAAUAAUGAAUAUUCCAUAAUCAGGAAACGACGGAGUAGAGCAUGCAAGUCUUUGAAGCCUCAUGAAGUUUUGGAAUUAGCAUCUGUAUCAAAGUCUAAUUAAUGUUUCCUUUCUAAAUUCAUUUUCCAUCUAAUUGGCCAAGCUUUGAUUGGGAACUGGAAAUGUCAUCCAAAAAUAUUUCCUCUUACAAGACUACUCUAAGCAGAGUGUUUGUAGUCUGUCAUUAUAUUCCCUGUUCUGCGCUUUCCUCCUUCAAGGAUUUUCAGCCAUAGUCAUUGUAUUGAAAUAGCUUCCUCUGGGCAAAUUUUCAGUCCAAACUCAAUUGUAAACUGGACUUUAUUUUGGGUCAACGUAACUCAGAUAAAAUAAUGGCACCCUGUGCUCAGUGUCAGUGCUACAUGUCCACGUGAAGGAUUUAGACCGGUGGAGUUGAGCUCCCUGCCCACCACGCAGACAAAGCCACGGUUCAACUCCCAGCUUCGGUGAACCAUAAACGAGGGACAACCUUGUUUAACAUAUCACUGAAUCUGAUUGAUAUGUUAAUAUCAUCCAAGUUCAAAGCAACACGUCCUGGCAAGAUAAAUGCUAUUUUUUUCCUUGUAAUUUACCAUUUCCUUCUUCCGUAAAUCCAGCAGACGAAAUAACAAUGGAGAGGGGGAAGGGGGCUGGGUUGGACCGAUCAUUUUAAAAACUAAGAAUGCUUUGGCAAAGUCUCUCUAACCUGUUACUGUAAACAUCAGCAGUCCUGUCACUGUCUCGGCCCGUAUAAAUACGUUCAUGGCGCCCCACCUAAAUCAGUGAAAUAUGUACAUAGUUCAGACAUACAAGUUAAAUCCCACCAGCAACAAUAAAGAGUAGGAACCCGAGGUCUUUUCCCAGGUUUUAUCUUUUGCAGGCAUCAGUGCUGAGAGCGUAAUAAUGCAGUUACUAAAUCCUUCUCAGCCCGAAUCCUGCUUCCUCUGUUUGUGUGGCACUUCCUCCAAGUGUUGUGGCUGGGGCAGCGGAGCUGGGCCGAACACAAUAGUCCUGGGCCGAGAUUGUUGUCACCUGUCCUUUUUUGUCUCUCCGUUUUCGACCUACUACACCUAAGCUUGAAUAGGAAAGCCUGUGGGCAACUGCUUCUUCUACAAAAAACAAAACAAACCAACCAACCAAACAAACAAACCUGCAUUUACUUGACAUGAAAAAACAAAGUCCUGCUCCGUGCAGUCAGGCCUGUGCUCUUUCUCCCAUUGAAAUCAAACUUCUCCUCCGAAGCGUGUGUUGCCAGAGACCCAACCAGCGUAUGCCGUGCUGCUCGAGAAACUCCGUGGUCAUUCGUUGCUUAUUGUAUCAGUGGCUAUUUUAGAACUGUGGGAGAGAAGUGUUCAAAACUAAGUCCUCCGUGACUUCAAAGGCACUGCUGGCGUGACUAAGGGCUAGCACACAUUUAAAGCCUCCUCCUGGAGCUGCAUUGGCAGCGUGAGGGAUGACAACUGGGAUGACAAACCAGGCUGAAGCCUUGUCCUCCUGGGCUGCUUGAGGGGGCUGAAAAAGAGCUUUUACUCAGCCAGAAGAUAUUUUGUACUGAUAGAUUUCCAGCUGAUUAGGUGACAGGAAAUGUUUAGUCAACACAUUGUCAGAGCACCCACUUAUGUUUUGUUGUAAGGUGUUAGAAAUAGUUCGGGGGCUCCACAGCACUGCUCGUCUCUCCCCAUCCAGAUUUCACCUGGAUUUUUUGAACUUAAGGAGAGAGCGUUAGGUGAUCAGGAUGAUGGAUUGACAGGCCUGAAUAAGUUAUAAAGUGGUGUGAGGUGCCAAAAUGGUACCUUGGACAAUAUUACAGGCUGGACUUAAUCGCACAGCCAUACGUUCCCAGGUCCCACCUGCGGACAGUUCUGCAGGGCAGGGCUGCUCCAUUCUGCACUAGCUGAGGCUCUCCCGGCCCCAGCCAGGACCGGCCCCAUCACGAUAAGCUGUAUUAAUUGGGGUGGGAAGUCACCAGGGUGUGGGAUCACUCUGCUAACAUCUAUGCUUGGCAAGGAGCGUAGGUGUCCCGCAGUACCGGCUGGCUGGGCUCCCCUGGGCACCGAGAGCCCCACCAUGCCACGGCUCUCACCCUGGCUCAGGCCAAGCGCCUGCAGCGGGGAUCUUUGUUAGGAGAGUGAUGGAGGAGGCUGGUUCCCUACAGCACUUCCAGCAUCUUCUCUUGCCCUGGGCUGGCACCAGGGAAACUGGGGAAAGGCUGCCCUUUGCGCUUGGUACAGGGAUGCUGCUGAAGCACUGCUGACAGCUGAGCUGGUGGCAUCUCUUGAGCUUUUAUGGGGCCUUCUUCCAGACACAGAUACGGGUGGGGGAUUUGGAUUUACUGGCUGUGUCCUGGGCUGAACCCAGAGUAGGCACCCAGGGUACUGACCGAUGCCUCAUCCACUUGCUCAGGAGAAGGAGGUUUGUUGUGGGGGAACUGACCGGCAGCGCUGCUUGAGUGAUCAUCCUUAUUAAUGCUCAGAUGAUUGUUUGUGUUCCUUACAGUGGGAGGGGGCACAGUUCCUUCUUGGAGAGAAACACUGGCAAUUUAUGCUGCUUGGGGAAAAUGUAAAUAAUUACAAAUUUCCAUCCUACCGUCCAAGAAAGACAGCAUCAUUUUAUACAUUUGUUUUGGUGCGUUAUAAUUAUAAUCACUAUUCUGGAACGUUAUUGGAAAAAUUAUUGUUCUUUCUAAAAUGUUAAGUCAGUUUAAUGACUAAAAAGUUAAUAAGGCUCUUGUUCUUCUCAUUAUUUAUUUGUUAUCCAAUUACUUCACAAAAUUGGAUCUGAAAAUGUAAAAUAUAUUUUUAUGGAAUAACAAAUGCUACAAUUAAGUUUUGAAGAGCAGAUUGUUUUUAAAUUCCUGUGGAGGACAUUAAAACUGAAUUAAAAUAUUAAAAAUGAAAUCUGAAAAUGAACAACAGCAUUAGAGGGGAAUGAAAACAAAAAAAAAGGAAUGAAAACAAGUUAAUAAAAUUGUUGAUAGUAGAAGGGCAGGCAAACAUUAACCCUUUCACCUCCUGAGCUGUCUAACUCACCUCUUGGUCUCGGUUACCCGCUUAAGGACUGUAUGACACUCUGCAGAAUUAAACCAGCCCAGGCCUGGUUCUGAUCCCCCGCGGCUGUAAAACUGAAGCAACUAUUGUCACCAGUGGAGCUGCGCUGGUGAAGAUCUGGGUUUAGUGCAUGUAAUCAUUCCUUUGAAAUUUAAUGCACUUUACAGUUACUUGCCUGUCUUUGAUGCAUGCAAUAAAUUUCUAGUUAAAUGGAUC